UUUUAUCAAAGCUUUAAAGGCCCACUAUAAUGUAAAGUUAGCAGCUAGCUGGUGAAUACAGUUGUUGAGGAGCAAAACAGAUCUUAAAGGAGAGUGAAUAUUGGACCUGAAUUCAUCAGGUGUCCAUUAACAUCAAUCCAAAUGAAUGCUAAUGUUACUCUGGAUCUGCUGGAUGUGUAAAUAGGUAACUGUCGCUAAUAAGUUUGUUAAAUCAACUUAAAAGGUGAUAAUAUGUUAGUAUAGUAUCCAUAGAUUGUUUCUGCUGCCUGCAAGUGGCUGAAAUAAAAGCCACUGCAGGCUUAAAGCUGAAAUGUGUAAAUUUCUGCAUCUAGUGUUUAUAUAUGUGUACAUAUGGCUUUUGGUUAGCUGUUGACAUUUUACAUAUGUAUAUGUGUGCUGCUCACUUAAUGUCUUUAAACUCAGCUGUCUGCUCCUUGCUUACUAUUCUAAUUCUCAUUAGAAAGGUUUUGUAUUACUCUAUUUUCAAUACACUUGUCUCUAGGCUCCACAGUGUAGAAAGGAGGGGAAAAUGGCACUCCCCUCCAUGAGUAAUGUUAAAUCUUUGGUCAUCGUGCAGGAAGGAUUUCUGUCACUUUGCCCCAAAAGAAUUAAUAACUACUGAAUAAGACAGAUUUUCCAGCCAAUACAGCCUCUGCCUCUGCAUUUGGUCUAAGCUACAAAUCAGAGACUUGUGGCAGAGAAGGCUUGGCUUUUUUCACCCUUGACUUUUUAUUUUAUUUUUUGUAUCCCUAACUUCAGAUAGUAAUGGGGUCAAAAGUUGCUGGCUAAUGUAUUGUGAAUAUACACGUGCAUGCUCAUGAUACUCUCUCUCGGUGUUUCUGCUCAUAUCCUGUCUGAGGGCCUCUUGGGAAUGGAUUCUAUCUCCUUAUCCUUAAAUAGCUCCAUCUAGAUAGUAUAUCUCAAUCAGUGUGUCACAACUCUAAAGUGGGUCACAGGGCUGUUCUGACAAGCUUGCCCACAUGCACCCAGAGCACUUCGGCUAAAAUAGAUGUCAGCUUUUGACAGACUUCCACAGUAUUUUCGGGCAAUCAUGAAAAAGGUCUCUUGUAUGAACAUUUUUAAUCUUUCAUAUAAGAUGAACAGAGUGAUUUGUGAGUCUCUUACUGCUGCCAGUUUUUUUUUUUUCAAAUAGUCCAACAUUUUGCGAAAUGUGCUUAUUUACCAUCUUACUGAGAGUUAGACGAGACGAUCGAUACCACUCUCAUAUCUGUCCGUUCAAUAUGAUGACAGUUAUCUUAGCUGAGCAUAAAGACUGGAGGGAGUGAGCCUGGCUCUGUUCAACAAUAACAAAAUGCGUCUACCAGCAUUUCACUAAUUAGAUUUUGUUUGUUUAAUCUGUACAAAUUCCACAUUGUGAAAAUAAAUGUUGCUGUUUUACUAGGGGUUAUGUUGGGGGGGGGGGGGCUACUCCUUGGGCAGGAGUAGCGAUUCGGGCUGCUGGCAGGCUACAUGCUGAACAGAUAGACAUGGGAGUGGUAUCAGUCUUCUCAUCUAACUCUUGUCAGAAAAGCAAAUGAGCAUUUUCCAAAAAUGUUGAACUAUUCCUUUAAGGCUCAGUGGUUUUGUCUUUUGUGACAUAAAAAACAAGGAAGUACAGGGAGAGUUUACAGUGUUGCAAGUAUUUUCAUAAAUGGAGCACCUUACUGUGACUAUUACAAAUGAAUACCUCCAGGACACUGAGAUUCCACAUCAGCUAAGGCCCAUGAUGCACCUCCACCCAGUUCACUGCAGCUGUGAUGGAAGCCAGGUUGAAGUCUAGAGAGAAGAAACAGAGCCAGAUGGAUUACCUCAUCAAUCAAAGUUCCCAGAAUCACGUCCUGUGUGUGUAUGUGUGUGCGCACACACGUGUGUGUCCCACCAACGCUGUGUGUCUCUAUUCUAGUAGGAAAAUGGCAUGAGGAGCUCACUGCAGACAUUUCCCGAGGAAAAAAAAAAGAAGAGAAGAUGUUUCGAGUAAUUACUUUAUCAUUCCUCUCUAUUCAUCUGCUCAUUGCAAAGGAGUCGCACAGGAAACUGCUAAUCUUGCCCAUGCACGGAAGCCUCUUUAAUGCUAUUUGGGAAAAUUGUAUUAUCAAAAUGUCGGGAGGGGGAGGG